rnacentral:rRNA from 1 species
GUAAGCUCUUUCGCCUGUGAUGAUAAUGACAGUAGCAGGUAAAGAAACCCCGGCUAACUCCGUGCCAGCAGCCGCGGUAAUACGGAGGGGGUUAGCGUUGUUCGGAAUUACUGGGCGUAAAGCGCGCGUAGGCGGACUAUUAAGUCAGGGGUGAAAUCCCGGGGCUCAACCCCGGAACUGCCCUUGAUACUGGUAGUCUUGAGUUCGAGAGAGGUGAGUGGAAUUCCGAGUGUAGAGGUGAAAUUCGUAGAUAUUCGGAGGAACACCAGUGGCGAAG